AUCGAACGCUAGCGGGAUGCCUUACACAUGCAAGUCGAACGGCGUGGCGAACGGGUGAGUAAUGUAUCGGAACGUGCCCAGUAGCGGGGGAUAACUACGCGAAAGCGUAGCUAAUACCGCAUACUAUUGGAGCGGCCGCUAUUGGAUUAGCUAGUUGGUGGGGUAACGGCUCACCAGGGCGACGAUCCGUAGCUGGUUUGAGAGGACGACCAGCCAAACGGGGACGGAGACACGGCCCAGACGCCUACGGGAGGCAGCAGUGGGGAAUUUUGGACAAUGGGGGAAACCCUGAUCCAGCCAUCCCGCGUGUGGGAUGAAGGCCUUCGGGUUGUAAAGCACUUUUGGCAGGAAAGCGGUACCUAAAGAAUAAGCACCGGCUAACUACGUGCCAGCAGCCGCGGUAAUAC
rnacentral:rRNA from 1 species